CAGAGACGAUAACCAUGUGUGUAGUCUAGACUCGGUUGAGUCUGGGCGACGUCACCCCUAUGCUGGGACCCUAUAGCUACUAUAGCGGACCAGCAGCCAGGCUUUCCUGGUUCACAGAUUAGGUGGUGGCGGUCUCUAGCAUUGGUGCUGGGAUCAAGAUAUAAUCGGUCUCCGUAGUUUGUGGCUACGGUUGAAAAACGUUCCGUAGGUGAACCUGCGGAAGGAUCAUUA
rnacentral:rRNA from 1 species